UUGUUAACUAGUCUCAUCUGACUUUCCAAAAAAUCUGUAUGCUUCCAUUUUUCAGGUGGAUUCAGGUGCCUGCAGUGGUAAUCAAGAGAAGAAAGCCAUGGUAUUGUCCGCUUGAGAGUAGGGGAAAAAAAGCAUAAUUAGAUGUUCCAUUGUCUCUGAGAUGUUGCUUCCUUUUCUAAGGGCUGAUGAGACGGCAAGAGGAAAAGAAGCUCCUUGCUCUCGCUGCUGCACCCGGUGCUGUGCCAUGGCGAGUGCUGUUGUCUGCUGCGCUGUGGGAGCUGGGGAGAGCAGCUCUACUUCUGAAUGGAGCAAUUCAAGCUGCAUGGCAAUUUGUCAGGAGUUGUGAAUCUUGUCCAAGCAAUGAUGCUCUGUCACUCUUUUUUUUCCCCAUGUGAAAGCUGUGGUUUGCUGUCAGACAAAGCAAGUGUGAUAGGAGGGUAAUUGCCUAACACUCUUCAGGAGAGAUUGGGAGAGCAGAAAAGUGUGUGACUGAUUAUUAUUGUAUGAUCCAUUUUGUGUAACAGAGGCACAAAGUUAUAAUCAGACAGAUCUCCACCAUGGAGCUGGUCAAUGUGAUUUUGAACAAAGCAAGGAUUGACUAAAAUUGCUGACUUUUGUGUUUUAUUAUGACUUUAGUGAAUUUUGAUAUAAAUGCCACUUGAAGACAAAGUCAUUCAAAUUUGCACAGCUGAUGGGAUUAUUCAAGAAAAGAACAUAAAAUUACCAAGAUACACUGUGUUCUAAAGGCUGAUGAGUUAGGACUUACAUUUGUAAGUAAUCCUACAGUAGAUCAUAAAUGUGUGAUUUUUAGUUUCUUUCCAAAAGCUGUUUCUGUUGAAAUACAUUGAUACAUCUAUUCAGAGCUGAAUCAGGAAACUUGCUCUUUGGUAUUGCUCUGUGUCCUCAGAGUAACUGGGAAAUGAACUUCCAUAUGCUCUUUUAGCUGGGAUAUGCUCAGUUUGCCAUUGUGUCAAAGGACUUGCUGUAAAUUAAAUUAGAAGUUGCUUGACUGCUUAUCAAGUUUUUUGCCUCAUCACUAGUAGAACAGCAUGCCAAAAUGACUGAAAGUUAAUAUCAUGCUCUCUGACAUCAGUCCUAGUGUUGUAUCACUCACAGAAUGAAUUUUCAUUGUCAGUAAAACUUAGAAAACAUUUACAUAUAUCAAACUCACAAUUCUGGAACCCUGUAAUGUCCUUUCAGUAUAUGACAUGGAUCCCAGAAGCAAAGUGACAGCUAUAUAUCUAUCUACUAGAUUGUUCAUUAUAAGCUGAAGACAGGGGCAUAAUAUCAUUGCACAUUUUCUUCUGUGAAUGCCUGUACAGAGAGAAAUAAAGAUGGAA